AAUAAAUCACAAUGCGGGACUAUCAGUCUUGCAAUUGGAUUGAGAACAAUGUACAACUCUUAUCGAUAAGCCAUUGGAGGGCAAGUCUGGUGCCAGCAGCCGCGGUAAUUCCAGCUCCAAUAGCGUAUAUUAACGUUGUUGCAGUUAAAAAGCUCGUAGUUGAAGUGUGGGUGAUCGCUGUUGUGAGACUUCGGUCUCUCGACAGUAAGUCACCCCCUUCCAGUAUCCAGUAGUGGGUAUUCAGUUACUUACUAUUGUGUGUUGGUCCUUUACUGUGAGAAAAUUAGAGUGUUCAAAGCAGGCGUUUGCUUGAAUAGAUUAGCAUGGAAUAAUAAUUGAAGGCUUUCGUGUUCGAUUUGAUUGGUUUGUUCAUGGAAGCAAGGUUAAAAGGAACAGUUGGGGGUAUUCAUAUUCACUAGUUAGAGGUGAAAUUCUCGGAUUUAUGGAAGAUGAAC
rnacentral:rRNA from 1 species